AUGUCUUCCUCCUCCGGCGCAUCUCACCCUAGCCUCAGUGGGCAGGUCAUUGAGAAACUCUCCCGCACGAACUAAGUGAUAUGGCGCACACAGAUCACGCCGCAGUUGCGUGGCGCCGGUGUCUUCAACUACGUUGACGGCACCUUGCCGGAGCCGGCCAAGAUUCUCGCCGCCAAGGACAAGGACGGCAAGGAGACUUUCGAGCCCAACCCUCUCCACCCCAUCUGGGUCAAGGAGGAUCAGCAGGUGCUCGGUUAUCUGCUGAGCAACCUCUCCAAGGAGGUGCUCGUCACGGUGACCACAGUCACCACAGCGCAGGCGCUCUAG
rnacentral:rRNA from 1 species